rnacentral:ncRNA from 2 species
CCGUUAUAGUCGGGGAGCCUUUGAGCUGAGAUCGCACAGCGAGACCCGUUGAACCUGAUUCAGUUAACACUGACGUAGGGAACUAUCGCGGACCAUUU